UACGGAGGGUGCAAGCGUUGUCCGGAUUUAUUGGGUUUAAAGGGUGCGUAGGCGGCUUUUUAAGUCAGUGGUGAAAGACAACAGCUCAACUGUUGCAGUGCCAUUGAUACUGAAGAGUUUGAGUACAGAUGAGGUAGGCGGAAUUUAUGGUGUAGCGGUGAAAUGCAUAGAUACCAUAAAGAACACCUAUUGCGAAGGCAGCUUACUAAGCUGUAACUGACGCUGAGGCACGAAAGUGUGGGGAUCAAACAGG
rnacentral:rRNA from 1 species